CCUUGCUGUGCACUUGUACGUUCCAGAAUCUGAUGGCUGGGGGUUCUGGAUGCGCAGUGUCCCCUGGGGAUGCAGCAGCUCACUGCCAGAUGCUCGGCCAUGGUUCCCUGUAGAAAGUAUGGAGUGGUCAGGAUGUGUCUGCUGUUGAUCUGAGGUCGGUCCAGCACAUGGCCACCUGGAAGAGUCCACGCCGUGCUGGGUUUGGGGCUGCCGUCAGACAGGCAGUGAAGCGAUAAUGAUUCCCCGCUGAUGCCCCUCAUUGGACCCUUGGGGUGAGUGAGGAUGGUGGGCUUCUGAGCGACUUCGAGGACGAUCAGCUUUUCAAUAUAGCCGACUUGGUUCUUAGCUGCACAGCGAUACUUCCCUGCUUUGUCCCUGCUGGGAUUGCGG
rnacentral:lncRNA from 1 species